rnacentral:rRNA from 1 species
UGCCAGUAUUCAUAUGCUUGUCUCAAAGAUUAAGCCAUGCAUGUCUAAGUGUAAGUAAUUUACAUCUAAACCGCGGAAGGCUCAUUAAAUCAGUAGAAACCUGACCGCUUUAGACGCAAGUCAUUGGAUAACUGCGGAAAAUCUGGAGCUAAUACAUACAAUACAACCUACCUUUAACAAGUGGGGCAGUAUCCAAUGUUUUCGCUGAGAGUGGCAACACUUACAGAUGAUCCAAGGGUACCUGUGAAGCACACAGCCUUGAGCUUGGUGCGCUUGCGGUCGAUCUUCUGACCUAUCAACCUGAUGGUAGUGUAGUGGACUACCAUAGUCGCAACAGGUAACGGGGAAUUAGGGUUUGGUUCCGGAGAGGACGCCUGAGAGAUGGCGUCUACUUCUAAGGAAGGCAGCAGGCGCGCAAAUUACCCAAUUCUAGCUAAGAGAGGUAGUGACAAGGAAUAACAAUGUGAAGCCUUUACGGGCUUCACAAUUGGAAUGAGAACGGAGUAAACUCCCUAACGAGUAUCAAUUGGAGGACAAGUCUGGUGCCAGCACCCGCGGUAAUUCCAGCUCCAAUAGCAUAUACUAAAGUUGCUGCAGUUAAAACGCCCGUAGCCGGAGUUCAGUUGGUUUCUUUAGUUGGUCUGCCCCUUCAGGGGUGUGUACUGCUAAGGACCUUCUAGAAUCGACCAAUAGCACUGCUCUGGCCUUAACUGGUUGGGGUAGGACUUUGGUCCUUUUACUGUGAAUAAAACAGAGUGUUCAAAGCAAGCGAUUUUGCUGUGUAUGAUUUAGCAUGGGAUAAUGAAAUAAGAGUGGCGAUGAGGUCUCAAGCGCCUUGUCGCUACUAAUGAUCAAUAGGGACUGACGGGGCUAUCCCUAUUUCGUGGGAAGAGGUGAAAUUCUAUGAUCCAUGAAAGAGGACCAAAAGCAAAAGCAGUUAGCCAGUAUGUUUCCAUUGGUCAAGGACGAAAGUUUGGGGAUCGAAGACGAUCAGAUACCGUCGUAGUCCAAACUAUAAACGUUGUCGACUGAAGCUCUUAUGACGUGCAUACUGACUCCUAGGGGACUCUGUGAGAAAUCAAAAGCUCAUGGACUCUGGGGGGAGUAUGGUCGCAAGGCUGAAACUUAAAAGAAUUGACGGAAGAUCACCACCAGGAGUGGAACCUGCGGCUUAAUUUGACUCAACACGGGAAAACUCACUCGGACAGGACAUAGUAAGGAUUGACAGAUUGAAAGCUCUUUCUUAAUUUCUAUGGGUGGUGGUGCAUGGUCGUUCUUAGUUGGUGGAGUGAUUUGUCUGGUUAAUUCCGAUAACGA